ensembl:snRNA U4 U4 spliceosomal RNA
AGCUUUGCACAGUGGCAGUAUCGUAGCCAAUGAGGUUUAUCCAAGGUGCGAUUAUUGCUAAUAAAAAAAGAAUUAUAUCUAUGAAAUACAUAAGAUAUGUUCUCUUUAUAUUAAUAAAAAUUUAAAAAUAGA